AGUGAACGCUGGCGGUAGGCCUAACACAUGCAAGUCGAACGGCAGCACAGUAAGAGCUUGCUCUUACGGGUGGCGAGUGGCGGACGGUUGAGGAAUACAUCGGAAUCUACUUUUUCGUGGGGGGUAACGUAGGGAAACUUACGCUAAUACCGCAUACGACCUACGGGUGAAAGCAGGGGAUCUUCGGACCUUGCGCGAUUGAAUGAGCCGAUGUCGGAUUAGCUAGUUGGCGGGGUAAAGGCCCACCAAGGCGACGAUCCGUAGCUGGUCUGAGAGGAUGAUCAGCCACACUGGAACUGAGACACGGUCCAGACUCCUACGGGAGGCAGCAGUGGGGAAUAUUGGACGAUGGGCGCAAGCCUGAUCCAGCCAUACCGCGUGGGUGAAGAAGGCCUUCGGGUUGUAAAGCCCUUUUGUUGGGAAAGAAAAGCAGCAGGUUAAUACCCCGCUGUUCUGACGGUACCCAAAGAAUAAGCACCGGCUAACUUCGUG
rnacentral:rRNA from 1 species